rnacentral:siRNA from 1 species
UGGAAUGCCGAAGAAAAACUC